rnacentral:snRNA from 14 species
GUACCUUCCACUUGGGAGACACCAUGAUAAAGACAGUGUUUUUUCCCCUCACCAUGUCAUUUGCUACACAAAAGUGUACCGACUCCUGUGAUUUCCCCAAAGAUGGGAAGCUCAGCUGUGUAAUUUGUGGUCACAGAGGGUUCUCUGU